GUCCUAUAUAGAUGUAUCAGCGCAAGCCAGCGGAGCAUCUCCCUGUAGGGCAAAGUUUAAUUAGAAACUCUGACAACAAUUCUCAUUGUAUGGCUACGGUUGAAAUGGGAUGAGUUAGAGUGGAAUAGGUUAACCGUAAGACCUUGAGUUGCAAAAUUCUAAAAUUGAGCUAGGAAUAUGAAUUCCAGAACUUUUAUAUUUCUAGUUACGGUUUG
rnacentral:ncRNA from 1 species